CAGGGAUGGGCUCGCGGCCUAUCAGCUUGUUGGUGGGGUAACGGCCUACCAAGGCGAUGACGGGUAGCCGGCCUGAGAGGGCGACCGGCCACACUGGGACUGAGACACGGCCCAGACUCCUGCGGGAGGCAGCAGUGGGGAAUAUUGCGCAAUGGGCGGAAGCCUGACGCAGCGACGCCGCGUGGGGGAUGAAGGCCUUCGGGUUGUAAACCUCUUUUACCACUCACGAAGGCCCCUGGUUUUCUGGGGGUUGACGGUAGGUGGUGAAUAAGGACCGGCUAACUACGUGCCAGCAGCCGCGGUAAUACGUAGGGUCCGAGCGUUGUCCGGAAUUAUUGGGCGUAAAGAGCUCGUAGGCGGCCUGUCGCGUCUGCUGUGAAAGUCCGGGGCUUAACUCUGGGUGUGCAGUGGAUACGGGCAGGCUUGAGGUAGGUAGGGGAGACUGGAAUUCCUGGUGUAGCGGUGAAAUGCGCAGAUAUCAGGAGGAACACCGGUGGCGAAGGCGGGUCUCUGGGCCUUACCUGACGCUGAGGAGCGAAAGCGUGGGGAGCGAACAGGAUUAGAUACCCUGGUAGUCCACGCCGUAAACGUUGGGCGCUAGGUGUGGGGACUUUCCACGGUUUCCGUGCCGUAGCUAACGCAUUAAGCGCCCCGCCUGGGGAGUACGGCCGCAAGGCUAAAACUCAAAGGAAUUGACGG
rnacentral:rRNA from 1 species